UUUAAACUUGGGCAGCUGUGUAUUUAGGAAGUGUGAACCAUAGGGGAACUCUUUAUUUUUUUAGGAGGUCGUUGGAACAUAAAUUGGCCAUUAUGGCUGAAUUAUUCCUUGUUCAUGGCCAUUAUGUACAUUGUCUUGAAGAAUCAUAGGUAUCAAAGGGAUCCAAGGCUUCCUGGACUUCAAUAAAAUCAUCCAAGGCGUGUGGAAAUUCUCCUUGAAGAAUAAUCUGAUGUUGUUCAUUCACUUCUAGCCGUGGAGAAGUUAUUAUGGAAAUUAUGCAACAUUUAACCCAUGUGCUCAAAGGAAUUACUCACAUCAUUGGAGAUUGGAAUCCUAGGUUCCUAAGCCUUCAAAGUCGUGGUUCUUCAAGCAAAGCAACAAGGAAUCCUAUGUUCUUUUUUAUUCAAUGUAAUAAUGUAAGAGAAUAAAUAUAUGAUGAAUAUGUCUUGGCCGAAUUUGGUCUUGUAUAUAAUUAGAUUCAUAGCUCAAAGGUAUUCAAUGUUGGAUCACCUUGAAUUAGGCCAUUAAUGUUUUCUCUCCAUGUAAUUCACGUGGAAGCCAUGUUAGGCUGGCCACUCUUUU
rnacentral:lncRNA from 1 species